UACGUAGGGCGCAAGCGUUGUCCGGAAUUAUUGGGCGUAAAGAGCUCGUAGGCGGUUUGUCGCGUCUGCUGUGAAAACUCGAGGCUCAACCUCGAGCUGUCGGUGGAAACCGUGUGGCUAGAGUCCGGAAGAGGAGAGUGGAAUUCCCGGUGUAGCGGUGAAAUGCGCAGAUAUCGGGAAGAACACCCGUGGCGAAGGCGGCUCUCUGGGACGGUACUGACGCUGAGACGCGAAAGCGUGGGGAGCGAACAGG
rnacentral:rRNA from 1 species